rnacentral:rRNA from 1 species
UACAGAGGGGGCGAGCGUCAUUCGGAAUUAUUGGGCGUAAAGGGCGCGUAGGCGGGUGCUCAAGUCCGUGGUGAAAUCCUCCGGCUCAACCGGAGAACUGCCUCGGAUACUGGGCGUCUCGAGUGUGGUAGGGGUAUGCGGAACUAUCGGUGGAGCGGUGAAAUGCGUUGAUAUCGAUAGGAACUCCGGUGGCGAAGGCGGCAUACUGGACCACCACUGACGCUGAUGCGCGAAAGCCAGGGGAGCAAACGGG